rnacentral:rRNA from 1 species
UACAGAGGGGGCAAGCGUUGUUCGGAAUUACUGGGCGUAAAGGGCGCGUAGGCGGCCUGCUAAGUCGAACGUGAAAUCCCCGGGCUCAACCCGGGAACUGCGUCCGAUACUGGCGGGCUUGAAUCCGGGAGAGGGAUGUGGAAUUCCAGGUGUAGCGGUGAAAUGCGUAGAUAUCUGGAGGAACACCGGUGGCGAAGGCGGCAUCCUGGACCGGUAUUGACGCUGAGGCGCGAAAGCUAGGGGAGCAAACGGGG